rnacentral:lncRNA from 1 species
GCCAGAGGGAGGAACGGCACGCUGCACUUACCAUUUUAUCUCUGGUCACUGGGAGGGAUGCCCAGGCCUCAUUGACCCCUGAGAACGCCAUACACACUGGUCUCCAUGGCCCAGCGCAAACGCCUAGGUGGUGAACACAUGAGGGGAGGAGAUGGCAGCUGCCUUUAGAGCAGGGCCAGCAGUGUAAAAGCGGCCAAGACAACAGGCAAAGGAGUGAGCACAGCUGGAGUUGGUCUCCAGGCCAGAGUCCAUCUGCCCCUGCUUCAGGCCAUCUGCACGUGGGAGUCCCACCGGCCCCACCUCACACAAGGAACGUCAAGUCCAACACGGAGCCUUCCCCAGAAACCUCCCCCCCUUCACAGCUCUGUUUCCAUCAGAGACGCGCCUACAGAAAUCUUUGAUUUCGCCCUCUCUUUCACAGCCUAAAUCCAUCUGUCUCUAAGUUCUUUUUUUAAAUAUUUUUUAUUUUAUUUUUUUGAGACAGGGUCUCGCUCUGUUGCCCAGGCUGGAGUGCAGUGGUGCGAUCUCGGCUCACCGCGACCUCCGCCUCCUGGGUUCCAGGAGGAACCGACUCCCAGAAUUGAGUCCAAUCCUUUGCCCGUACUGUAAGACCCCUCUGCAGUGGUCCCUACACUUAUUAUUGUAGUCCUCUAACCUGGAAUAAAGUCCACCUUACCGUC